rnacentral:rRNA from 1 species
UACGGAGGGGGCUAGCGUUGUUCGGAAUUACUGGGCGUAAAGCGCACGUAGGCGGACUGUUAAGUCGGGGGUGAAAUCCUGGGGCUCAACCUCAGAAUUGCCUCCGAUACUGGCAGUCUCGAGUGCGGGAGAGGUGAGUGGAAUUCCCAGUGUAGAGGUGAAAUUCGUAGAUAUUGGGAAGAACACCAGUGGCGAAGGCGGCUCACUGGCCCGUAACUGACGCUGAGACGCGAAAGCGUGGGGAGCAAACGGG